rnacentral:rRNA from 1 species
AUGGCGAGUUUCGCAGCUCCGGUAUCCUCCAUGGAUGCAGCUGCAGCCCUUUGCCUUGUGCUCAUUCUAGCCACCACGACUACCUCUCCUGUCUAUGGGCAACAAACCAACAACGGCGGGUGCAUCACAAAGGAGGGGGACGCACUGCUGUCUUUCAGAGCUGGCAUCAGAAGCGAUCCACAGAACCUCUUUUCCUCUUGGAAUGGCCGAGAUUGCUGCCAGUGGAGCGGUGUCAGGUGCAGCAACAGGACAGGCCAUGUCGUCAAGCUCGACGUCCGCAACGGUCUCUUCUUGGACGAUAUCUAUCGUAGCUGGUACAGUGAAAAUCCUCAUGGAAUGCGUGGGAACAUAAGUUCUUCCUUAGUUGCUUUGCAUCAUUUGGAGUAUCUAGAUCUGAGUGGGAACUAUCUCAGUGGAGUGGAUGUGCCCAUACCCGGAUUCUUGGGCUCCCUCCAAAGCUUGAGAUAUCUCAACCUCUCUUCCAUGGAUUUUCAUGGUAAAGUGCCUCCUCAACUUGGUAACUUGUCCAGACUGCUAUAUCUUGACCUCAACAACAACUGGAAUCAUAAUUCUUAUGGCAUGAUGUUGCACAUCGAGGAUAUCUCAUGGUUGCUGCGUCUCGCUUUGCUAAGGUUUCUCGACUUGACUAGUGUGAAUCUUAGUGCCAUUGGCAAUUGGGUUCAAGUGGUUAACACGCUAUACAAUCUAAGAGUCCUUCGUCUCCGUCGUUGUGGACUUGUUUUUCCACAGACACCUACUGUGCAUUCUAACCUCACAUCACUUCAGAUUCUUGAUCUAAGUGAUACUGGGUUUCAUACCAUCAAUCCAACCUACUGGUUCUGGGAUGUUGGCACCAUCAUGCAUCUUGACCUUACGAAUAAUGAAAUCGCUGAAGCAUUUCCAGAUGCCAUGGGAAAUAUGACUUCGCUUGAGGUACUUCAUCUUGGAGGCAAUCAUCUCACUAGUAUAAAGCCGGAAGUACUGGGAAACCUGUGCUAUUUGAGAGUGCUAACACUCUGGUCAAAUCUGAUCAAUCAAGACAUUUCACAAUUUUUACAGGGGUUGCCUCACUGUGCAUGGAGUAAGAUGGAGUUAUUAGACAUGUCUUGCACAAAUGUCACCGGGGAAAUUCCAAGGUGGAUAAAUCAGUGGACUGAUUUGAGCACUCUUCAACUCUCCUCCAAUAGGCUUGAAGGAUCAGUGCCUUCAGAAAUUGGUAUGCUUGGCAAACUCAAACAGUUGUAUCUAGACGGCAACUAUUUUAAUGGUUCUAUAUCAGAGGAACAUCUUGACACUUUAGUCAACUUGGAGGAAUUGGACUUGUCUUACAACUCCCUACACCUGAUGAUCAGCUCAAAUUGGAUCCCCCCCUUUAAAUUGCGCCGGGCAUAUUUCCCACGCUGCAAAAUGGGACCUCAUUUUCCUCUCUGGCUAAAUUGGCAGAAGGGUGUUGUUUAUCUUGACAUUUCUGAUGCAGGCAUAGUUGAUAACCUCCCGGAUUGGUUUUGGAGUGUGGUUUCAAAUGUUCAAUACUUGAACAUCUCUUUUAACCAAAUCAGUGGCAGGUUGCCAAGGACUCUUGAGUUUAUGUCUUCAGCAGUGAUAUUUGAUCUGAACUCCAACAACCUCACUGGUACUCUGCCGCUGUUGCCAAGGCAAUUGGCAGAACUGGACAUUUCCAGAAACUCUUUAUCAGGGCCACUGCCACGAAACUUUGGAGCUCCGUUUAUUGAAGAGUUGUUGCUUUCUGAGAAUAGUAUCAAUGGCUCGAUUCCAACAUAUAUUUGUCAGCUGCAGUCACUAUUGGUACUGGAUUUAGCAAAGAACCUCCUAGCAGGACACCUCCCCGUCUGUUCAGAAGAAACUAAAAAACUGAAUAGAUCCAUUAGAGCUCUAGUCCUGUAUGAAAACAACUUGUCUGGUGAAUUCCCUUCAUUUUUGAAGAGCUGCUCAGAGUUGGUUCUGCUUGAUCUUGCGCACAACAACUUUGUCGGAGAGUUGCCGGCAUGGUUAGCAAACAAAUUGCCAAAUUUGUCCUACCUCCGGUUGCGGCAUAAUAAAUUCUCUGGCUCUAUUCCAGGUCAGCUCACCCAGCUUGAACACCUACAGUAUGUGGACCUUGCAGAUAACCGAAUAUCAGGAUCUAUACCUCAUUCGUUGGCCAACUUAAAAGCAAUGAUACAGGAGGACCAAACAAUUUGGAACCCCUUAGUGUGGAGUUAUGAAAGGCCAGCAAACCCUGACACGAAUGAUUCACCAAAAUAUGAUGACAGCUUAGCAGUGGUAAUUAAAGGCCAAGACCUUGAUUACACCAGCACUAUUAUUUAUAUAGUUGGCCUCGACUUGUCCUGCAACAGUUUGGUCGGAGAGAUUCCAGAUGAAUUGACUUCCCUGGUUAGAAUGAAUAACCUGAACAUCUCCCAUAAUCAGUUGUCCGGCAGGAUCCCGGAGAAGGUCGGUUCGCUACGGUCAUUGGAGUCUCUCGACCUGUCCUUCAAUGAACUCUCUGGCGACAUCCCUUCCGGUCUCUCGGACAUCAUGAUGUUAAGCAAGCUGAACUUGUCAUACAAUAACCUUUCAGGAAGAAUACCCUCAGGGAACCAGCUGCAGUCACUCAUCGACCCAGCAUCGUCGUAUAUCGGCAACAACUAUCUCUGUGGGACUCCUCUUUCGAGGAACUGCUGGGAGCCUGAUGUAACUAGAGGUGAUAUUGAGGAGCAUCAAGACGAGGCGAAGUAUUUCUAUCUUGGGCUGGCUGCAGGAUUUGUCUUUGGUCUCUGGCUGGUGUUCAUUAUCUUGUUUCGUUCAUGUGGUGGGUUCGCAAUGUGCGGAGCAAUGCCAUCAUGCUGGGCACGACUGCCUGAAGCUCAAGGAUUGGCAUUGCAGCUUCGUCGUGGGUGA